GAUGAACGCUGGCGGCGUGCCUAAUACAUGCAAGUCGAGCGAACAGACUAGGCGCUUGCUCCUCUGACGUUAGCGUCGGACGUGUGAGUAACACGUUGAUAACCUACCUAUAAGACUGGGAUCACUUCGGGAAACCGGAGCUAAUUCCGGAUAAUAUAUUGAACCUCAUUGUUCAAUCGUGAAAGACUGUUUUGCUGUCACUUAUAGAUGGCUCCUCGCCCAAUUAGCUAGUUGGUAAGGUAACGGCUUACCAAGGCAACGAUGCGUAGCCGACCUGAGAGGGUGAUCGACAAAACUGGAACUGAGACACGGUCCAGACUACUACGGGAGGCAGCAGUAGGGAAUCUUCCGAAAUGGGCGAAAGCUGGACGGAGCAACGCCGCGUGAGUGAUGAAGGUCUUCGGAUCGUAAAACUCUGUUAUUAGGGAAGAACAAAUGUGUAAGUAAAUAUGCACGUCUUGACGGUACCUAAUCAGAAAGCCACGGCUAACUACGUG
rnacentral:rRNA from 1 species